AGUAAUGUCUGGGAAACUGCCUGAUGGAGGGGGAUAACUGCUGGAAACGGUAGCUAAUACCGCAUAACGUCGCAAGACCAAAGAGGGGGACCUUCGGGCCUCUUGCCAUCGGAUGUGCCCAGAUGGGAUUAGCUAGUAGGUGGGGUAAUGGCUCACCUAGGCGACGAUCCCUAGCUGGUCUGAGAGGAUGACCAGCCACACUGGAACUGAGACACGGUCCAG
rnacentral:rRNA from 1 species